UCCGGACGUUGCAGGCUGCAACUCGCCUGCAUGAAGCUGGAAUUGCUAGUAAUCGCGGAUCAGCAAGCCGCGGUGAAUACGUUCCCGGGUCUUGUACACACCGCCCGUCACACCAUGGGAGUCGGGAAUGCCCGAAGUCAGUGACCGAACCGAAAGGGGGGAGCUGCCGAAGGCAGGCCUGGUAACUGGGGUGAAGUCGUAACAAGGUAAC
rnacentral:rRNA from 1 species